CCCCAGUGUGCACGGGCGUCAUGCAAUCUGUUGAGGGCCUGAAAAGAAUAAAAAGGCAGAGCGGAGAAGAAUUUGCUCUCUGUCUGACAGGAUGAGCUGGGAUGUUGGUCUUCUGCCCUUGAGCUGGGGUUUAAAUCAUUAACUCCCCUGGUUCUCGGGCCUUUGCACUGGAAGUGGAGUUUACACUGCUGGUUUUGCCGAUUCUCAGACCUUCAGACUUGGACUGAAAUGAUACCACUGGCUUUCCUGGGUAUCCAGUUUCAAGAAGACAGAUUGUGGGAAUCCUCAGCCUUCAUAAUUAUGUGUGUGCAGCCUGGUUGAUGCUGGAUCCUCAACGUGGUGAUGUCCCCCUCCCUCUGGGUCUGCCCGCCAACCUCGGCCCUCCUGCAUCGCAGAGGGAUGUUUCCUGCUUGUCCAGUGGCUCUGAACCAGACUAUUCUGAAGCUCAUCUAAGACGUUGUAUAAUUACUCAGUAAAGUCUUCUACGUGUUCCUCUAUGAUCAGGAAAACUUACGAAGUUGAAGAAACCAGUUCCAGGCAUCCUCACUGCAAGAGUGGGAGUAAUGCUGAGGUGAACAUCCUCAAACUCUGAGAAAAGAGGAGUUAGAGGAAGCCUCGUAGACUCAAGAGUGAAGUAAGCACGAAAGAGCCUUUGGGAAUGAAGACACAAAGAGGAAAGCGGCAGAUGCGGGAGUGUCCUUGGAAUAAGAGUGACAGCAGGCACAGGAGGUCUAGAGUAAAGCAGACCGAGUUGGAAAAAAUAACCAUGUUUUAAUAUUCUCCUAAUUUGUUUAAUUUUUUAUGAUUAUAAAUAUAUAUAUUUGUUUAAAUUUUCAUGACUAUAAAUAUAUGUUAUGGUACAUAUUCAAUAUAGGAGAAACUUAAAAGAUGACACACACACCCCUACUUAUACAGCCAUUAAAGUAAUAUUAAACAACAUGGAACUUGUUUUAUCAUUUCCUUUAGUGCGGAUUAAGGAGAUGAAUCUUUUUCCUUUUUGCCUAUCUAAAAUGUAUUUCAUCUUCAUAACAAUAUUUUCUUUUUUCACCUUUUACAAAAUGAAAAACAUAUACAAUAAAAUUUACCCUAUUUAUUAUAUAGUUCUGUGAGUUUUGACAAACGGUUCCAGUCCUAUAAUCACCACCAUAUCCAAGAUACAGAACAUUCCAUCAGCCCCAAAAAUUACUCUCUGCCCAGUUGUUGUCACCUGUCCUGUCACCCAUAGUCCCUGGCAGUCACUGAUUUAUUUUUUAUUCUAUAAUUUUGCCUUUUAAAUGAUGUCAUAUAAAUUGAAUCACGCAGUAUUCAAUUUUUAAGUCUAGCUUCUUUUACUUAGCAUAAUGCAUUUCAGAUUUAUUCAUGUUGUCACCAUAUCAAUACUUUGUUCCUUUUUAUUGCUGAAGAGUAUGCCAUUGUAUGCCUGUACCACAGUGUAUCCAUUAUCCACCUGAGGGACAUCUUGAUUGUUUCCAGUUUUUGUGUUUUCAUUUGUACCCUAAGGGAGAUAGAGUGUUUUUUUUUUCUUUUAAUCUUUUCCAAGGACCUUAAGUCUUUUAUUCUUUGGAGAGAUGGAUUCAGGUGAAAUUUUUCGUUUUUCCAGCAAUAGCUGCUGUUCCCUCCCUGAACUCUGAACCAAAAGGGAGGCUUCCUCAGAUCUCUCGCCCUGGCCCUCAUCUUUCUUUUGAGCAUUGGAUUAGGUCUGUGAAGAACACCCUCCAAAUGAUUGAGAAUGUCCUUUGUGCCUGUGGUUUAUAGGGGUAUUAUGUUUUCUCACUAGCCCAGACUCAACCUUUAGCAAUUUGUUAAACAUGUACGUGAAUUCUUGUUAGAAGUUUGUGUGGAAUCUGUCAUAUGCCCCUGGGAAACAACCAUUCCUGUCUUGUUUCUUCUUAGUUGUACUUGUCUUCCUUAGAUUUGGGGUUAGUUGGUUGUCCUUCCACCACAACUCUUUGAUGGGUUCAAGAACAGUUGUGACGUUUUAGAUCAUACAGUGAGAUUUUUGUUGUUAUAUGUGUGGGAGUAAUGCUCCUUCCAGCUUUCUAACAUCCGAAACAGAAGCCAGAAGGCAACGCACCUUCAUUUUUAAAGAAUACUUUGACCAAGUAUACAUUAUCUUUCAACACUUUAAAAUGUGCCAUUCCAUUGUCUUCGAUUCUUUUUCAAGAGAAGUAAGAUGUACAUCUUGUCAUUGUUCAUCUCUGAUUAAUGUUUCUUAUUUCACUGGUUGCCUCCAGGAUUUUCUCUUAAUCCAGUUUUCAGCACUUUUACUAAUAUAUACCUAGGUAUAUUUUCUUUUCUUUUUAUUCUUCUUGGGGUUCUCUGAACUUCUGGGAUAUGUGAGUUUUUGUUGGUCAAUAAUUUUUUUAAAAUUCUGGCCAUUACCAAUUAAAAUGAACUUGUAUGCACUCUCUCUCUUCUUCAUCAGGAAUUCAGUUUGCGUGUAUAUUAGAUUGUUUCAUAUUGUCCUGUAUAUCCCAGAGGUUUUACUCAAUUUUUUCACUAUUUUCACUCUUUGUGUUUCAGUUUGGUGAAUUUCUAUUGGACUAUAGUCUAUUUAGCUGAUCCUUUCCUCUGUUGAGUUUGUUCUAAGUCUUUUAAUGGAAUUAUUUGCCUCAUAACACAUUUUUUUAUUUCUAUCAUUUCUUUUGGAUUUUCUAUAGUUUUCGUCUAUCUAUUGCAAUUUUCCAUCUGUUCAUCAAUUACACAUACUUAACAUUGUAGCCACACAAAGUCCCUAUUUGAUAAUUUUAAGUCCCCAUCCGGUAAUUCCAAUAUCUGUGACACAUCUGAAUUUCUUCCUGAUGACUAUUUUAUCUUAUGGUAAUGUUUGACAUUUGCUUGAUAUUUUCUGCACAUUAUAAUUUGUAUCAAAUGUCAGAUUUUUUUUUUUUGCCACAAAACUCUAAGGAUUAAAGU
ensembl:lncRNA